rnacentral:rRNA from 1 species
UCGGGAAUAUUGCGCAAUGGGACGGAAACUCUGACGCAGUGACGCCGCGUGCAGGAAGAAGGUUUUCGGAUUGUAAACUGCUUUAGACAGGGAAGAGAAAGGACAGUACCUGUAGAAUAAGCUCCGGCUAACUACGUGCCAGCAGCCGCGGUAAUACGUAGGGAGCGAGCGUUAUCCGGAUUUAUUGGGUGUAAAGGGUGCGUAGACGGGAAUACAAGUUAGUUGUGAAAUACCUCGGCUUAACUGAGGAACUGCAACUAAAACUAUAUUUCUUGAGUACAGGAGAGGUAAGUGGAAUUCCUAGUGUAGCGGUGAAAUGCGUAGAUAUUAGG